AGCUAGAUUACAUUAUAGAGUUAUAAUAUUGCUUGCCUUUCCUGCCAUUUUUUAAUGAGAUAAUAAAUGCAUCUACACUUAAGUGGGUUAGAUAGAAAAAGCAACACAAGAGAUGUUGCCACACGCUAACUAAAUUGAAAGUAAAAAGUAAAUAAAACAAAUAUUGACUUUCAAAAACUGGAGCUAUUAGCAGACAGACUAUCCUCACAAACUCACAAACAGCAAAUAUGCCCUAGCAGUUUUCAUGACCCUGUCUGAUUGUUUAAAUUGUGUUUUGUUGUUUUAAAGCGUGUCAUAGAAUUAUCAAUUGAUUAUUAAUAACAUAACAGCUGGUAAUUCCAUUAUCAUUUAUUUUUAUCGGAUUAGUUUCUCCAGUAUGGCUCCAAGGGCUCUAGUUAAUAAUGAGUUAAUUUAAGAUAGUUUACAACCGACUGAAACUUUAAAAAAAAUAA